ensembl:miRNA
UUGAAGAAUAUGUCUGGUUGAUCCAGUACACUUAAUUCUGAGAAAGUCCACAGAUUGGACCAGGUCAUGGAUUUUAGCUGGAUUCAUUGACUGGGCUAUAUUUGUCAUA